AUGACAUCCAUGGAGCCUCAUGAUUUUGGAAAUCUUGCUCUACAUUAAAAAUAAUUAUAGCAUUUCAUGUAUCCUGCAUAUUUCUUCACCAUUCGGAUUAUGUACAGACAUAGAACGAGCAAUUAAACCAAGCUGAGAGGAAGAGCAACGUGGGCUCUGUGUGUGGGAUGGUUUCCAGGUGGGAUAGCUUUCAUAAGUGCCUUAAAAAACAUUCUGCCACAUGGCUCUUUAGAGGCCUCCCCACAGAAGCAGCUCAAUUAUUCAUUCAGAGCAGAAACUGUUUUAUUACAUGUCUUGUAGUUCGAAUGGUUAGACUGAAAUGUGGGACACUCUGCUCUCAACAAGGUUCUGGUACUUGCAUUUGUACUUGCACUUGUCCUGCAGAGCGGUAAAAGAGUUGCCAACACCAGCUGGGAGAUUGGAAUAUCAUUAGCACAUAUUUUGUGUUGUAUCUUCAAGGUUAGUACAAAUCACAAAACCUCUGCAGCUGAAAGAGAGAAAAAGAGCACAGCUCUGGAAUGAAACUUAUUUUUCAAAUCAAGCUGGACAAAUUUUAAGAUAUGAUUGAAUAUUUUCCUUUGGCCCAGGGGAAGAUUGCUGCUGUAUUACACCGUCCUGCAGAAUAACAUCCUCUCAGAGACUUGCUCCUCAUCAUUGCUUGAAGUGCUUUUCCUGACCCCAAAUGUGCGUAUUCUCCUUUCAGACCUUCUAUGUGCACUGGGCAGCUGGGACAGGAGGUGCAAAGCUGGGACACUGCCCAGUUCGCCCACGGGCUCCCUCUGCCACCUCUCCCACCUGGGACAUACCAAGGACCUGCACCCACCACAACUGCAUCCAGCAGUGUGAGUUCCCCUCCGGAUGCCACUGUGGUUGUAUCCAGCUUUUCUUCAGGAGUGCUUGGCUCUGGUGCUGUCUGUGCUGGCAGAAGACGGGGCUAUUCCCAGUGAUUUCCUUUGCUUAAACUAUCCAGCUUUUUCUUUCUUCACGAGAAGUUGCAUUGCCGGAGUCAGACGGUGGAUGCUGCAGAACUUUUUUAAAGAACUACACAACAAGAUCAGCAAUGCGAGUUUAGGAGCAACCAGGCACGAAAGAGGUUCGAUGGCUAUGACCGAAGACUGUGCAAAAUGUUUUUAUACCAAGAUGGCUAACUUGAAAUAGACCUUCCCAGAGCUAUGUACCGCUGCACGUCCGCGUGUACUACGCAGCUGGGAACUCCUGCCCAACUUCCUGACGAAAAACCUCCAGGUUUUAAAGUCGAGCACUUACCGGAGUGCUUUCUACGAGGUGUUUCAUCUAUAAUCCUGGAUCACAGUAUAUCACCAAGGAUACAUCAUGGAUCAUACUAUAUCACCAAACCCUGAAAUGCAAUUACCAUUGGAGCUGAAUGUGGCAGCAAAUAUAAUGGCUAACACUACACAGUAUGUUAGACAAAUAGACACCAGUGGACAGCUAUAAGGGGCAAACAUUCACCUUGACUUUACUACGGCAAUUUGUUUUAUUUUCUAUUUCCUUAGCUCCUGCUGGCUUUUGCUUAGUUGCUCCUCAGACAAAUACCUCUUCAGAAGUUGAAGCUGAUAAGAGCACAACUAACUAAAAGUAAAAUUUGAGUUAGGGCUUCGAUUUUGUCCAUGUGAAAUGUGUAUUGAGGUAAGUUUUGCUUAGGUUACCCAAGUGUUCAUUAUCCAUAUAAAGUAGCAUGUUCUAGUAUGCCUGGACUAGCCGCCCAUAUUUACUUGUAGCAGAACGUGACCUUAAUUCAGUUCUUACAGAAACCAGCGGGCCAGAAGCGAUCGGUUCUGCAUGUCGUUUAAGAGACACUGUUAUGCCACCUGGUUCCCCUGCAGACUGACAUUUUGCUGACCCUUGCCUAAAUCUAGGGAAUACCCCUCUGUCACCAGAAUCAUGGUUUCAAACUCCUUUUCUUUGACUCUCACUGGUGUGCCCUUGCAGCACCUCGCCGUCCCUGGUUCCCCACGUAGUCCAUUGCACCCAGGACAGCAAAGGCCGCAGCACCCCUCUUCAUAAAUACAGAUCCUGUCUCCAGCUGCUCUGUGACGAUUCGGCAACCAAAGCGCUUCCCUGCAGGGCACAGAAACCUCUUGCCACAGUUUUUAUUUGUGCUCGUGGUUAGGUGACUCUGGUCACCGUUAGGGGUUUC
ensembl:lncRNA